GAAUAUUGCACAAUGGGCGCAAGCCUGAUGCAGCAACGCCGCGUGAGGGACGAAGGCCUUCGGGUUGUAAACCUCUUUUAGUAGGGAAGAAGCGACUGGGUUUUCCUGGGAGUGACGGUACCUGCAGAAAAAGCACCGGCUAACUACGUGCCAGCAGCCGCGGUAAUACGUAGGGUGCAAGCGUUGUCCGGAAUUAUUGGGCGUAAAGAGCUCGUAGGCGGUUUGUCGCGUCUGCUGUGAAAACCCGAGGCUCAACCUCGGGCCUGCAGUGGGUACGGGCAGACUAGAGUGCGGUAGGGGAGAUUGGAAUUCCUGGUGUAGCGGUGGAAUGCGCAGAUAUCAGGAGGAACACCAAUGGCGAAGGCAGAUCUCUGGGCCGUAACUGACGCUGAGGAGCGAAAGCAUGGGGAGCGAACAGGAUUAGAUACCCUGGUAGUCCAUGCCGUAAACGUUGGGAACUAGAUGUGGGGACCAUUCCACGGUCUCCGUGUCGCAGCUAACGCAUUAAGUUCCCCGCCUGGGGAGUACGGCCGCAAGGCUAAAACUCAAAGGAAUUGACGUGGGCCCGCACAAGCGGCGGAGCAUGCGGAUUAAUUCGAUGCAACGCGAAGAACCUUACCAAGGCUUGACAUAUACCGGAAACGGCUGGAAACAGUCGCCCCGCAAGGUCGGUAUACAGGUGGUGCAUGGUUGUCGUCAGCUCGUGUCGUGAGAUGUUGGGUUAAGUCCCGCAACGAGCGCAACCCUCGUCCUAUGUUGCCAGCACGUAAUGGUGGGAACUCAUGGGAUACUGCCGGGGUCAACUCGGAGGAAGGUGGGGAUGACGUCAAAUCAUCAUGCCCCUUAUGUCUUGGGCUUCACGCAUGCUACAAUGGCCGGUACAAAGGGCUGCGAUACCGCAAGGUGGAGCGAAUCCCAAAGAGCCGGUCUCAGUUCGGAUUGAGGUCUGCAACUCGACCUCAUGAAGUCGGAGUCGCUAGUAAUCGCAGAUCAGCAACGCUGCGGUGAAUACGUUCCCGGGCCUUGUACACACCGCC
rnacentral:rRNA from 1 species